rnacentral:rRNA from 1 species
CCUACGGGAGGCAGCAGUGAGGAAUAUUGGUCAAUGGGCGGAAGCCUGAACCAGCCAAGUCGCGUGAGGGAAUAAGGCCCUACGGGUCGUAAACCUCUUUUGCCGGGGAGCAAGGGCGGGGACGUGUCCCGGCCCGGAGAGUACCCGGAGAAAAAGCAUCGGCUAACUCCGUGCCAGCAGCCGCGGUAAUACGGGGGGUGCAAGCGUUGUCCGGAAUCAUUGGGCGUAAAGGGUUCGUAGGUGGCACGUUAAGUCUGGUGUUAAAGGCGGAAGCUCAACUUCCGUAGGGCACUGGAUACUGGCGAGCUUGAAUGCGGUAGAGGUAAAGGGAAUUCCUGGUGUAGCGGUGAAAUGCGUAGAUAUUAGGAGGAACAUCGGUGGCGUAAGCGCUUUACUGGGCCGUAAUUGACACUGAGGAACGAAAGCCGGGGUAGCAAAUGGGAUUAGAUACCCCUGUAGUC